AUUGAACGCUGGCGGCAGGCCUAACACAUGCAAGUCGAGCGGAGCGGCAGACGGGUGAGUAAUGCCUAGGAAUCUGCCUGGUAGUGGGGGAUAACGUCCAGAAACGGGCGCUAAUACCGCAUACUAUCAGAUGAGCCUAGGUCGGAAUAGCUAGUUGGUGGGGGAAAGGCCUACCAAGGCGACGAGCCGUAACUGGUCUGAGAGGAUGAUCAGUCACACUGGAACGGAUACACGGUCCAGACUCCUACGGGAGGAAGCAGUGGGGAAUAUUGCACAAUGGGCGCAAGCCUGAUCCAGCCAUGCCGCGUGUGUGAAGAAGGUCUUCGGAUUGUAAAGCACUUUAAGUUGGGAGGCGUUACCAACAGAAGAAGCACCGGCUAACUCCGUGCCAGCAGCCGCGGUAAUUC
rnacentral:rRNA from 1 species